GCGCGCGCAGGCGGUUUCUUAAGUCUGAUGUGAAAGCCCCCGGCUCAACCGGGGAGGGUCAUUGGAAACUGGGGAACUUGAGUGCAGAAGAGGAGAGUGGAAUUCCACGUGUAGCGGUGAAAUGCGUAGAGAUGUGGAGGAACACCAGUGGCGAAGGCGACUCUCUGGUCUGUAACUGACGCUGAGGCGCGAAAGCGUGGGGAGCGAACAGGAUUAGAUACCCUGGUAGUCCACGCCGUAAACGAUGAGUGCUAAGUGUUAGAGGGUUUCCGCCCUUUAGUGCUGCAGCAAACGCAUUAAGCACUCCGCCNGGGGAGUACGGUCGCAAGACUGAAACUCAAAGGAAUUGACGGGGGCCCGCACAAGCGGUGGAGCAUGUGGUUUAAUUCGAAGC
rnacentral:rRNA from 2 species